rnacentral:rRNA from 1 species
GUGGGGAAUAUUCCGCAAUGGACGAAAGUCUGACGGAGCAACGCCGCGUGAGUGAUGAAGGUUUUCGGACUGUAAAGCUCUGUUGUUUAGGACGAAAGUGCCUGUUGCAAAUAGUUACAGGUAUUGACGGUACUGAACGAGGAAGCCACGGCUAACUACGUGCCAGCAGCCGCGGUAAUACGUAGGUGGCAAGCGUUGUCCGGAAUUAUUGGGCGUAAAGAGCAUGUAGGCGGGAAUCUAAGUCUGUUGUGAAAAUGCGGGGCUCAACCCCGUAUUGCGAUGGAAUCUGGGUUUCUUGAGUGCAGGAGAGGAAAGGGGAAUUCCCAGUGUAGCGGUGAAAUGCGUAGAUAUUGGGAGGAACACCAGUGGCGAAGGCGCCUUUCUGGACUGUGUCUGACGCUGAGAUGCGAAAGCCAGGGUAGCGAACGGGAUUAGAAACCCCGGUAGUCC